GUGUCAGCAGCCGCGGUAAUACGAAGGGGGCUAGCGUUGUUCGGAAUCACUGGGCGUAAAGCGCGCGUAGGCGGGUCGUUAAGUCAGGGGUGAAAUCCCGAGGCUCAACCUCGGAACUGCCUUUGAUACUGGCGACCUGGAGUCCGGGAGAGGUGAGUGGAACUCCUAGUGUAGAGGUGAAAUUCGUAGAUAUUAGGAAGAACACCAGUGGCGAAGGCGGCUCACUGGCCCGGUACUGACGCUGAUGCGCGAAAGCGUGGGGAGCAAACAGGAUUAGAUACCCUAGUAGUCC
rnacentral:rRNA from 1 species